rnacentral:rRNA from 1 species
UAGCUAGUUGGUAGGAUAAAGGCCUACCAAGGCGACGAUCGGUAGCUGGUCUGAGAGGAUGGCCAGCCACACUGGAACUGAGACACGGUCCAGACUCCUACGGGAGGCAGCAGUGGGGAAUAUUGGACAAUGGGGGAAACCCUGAUCCAGCAAUGCCGCGUGUGUGAAGAAGGCCUGAGGGUUGUAAAGCACUUUCGGCGGGGAGGAGGGUUGAUUGGUUAAGAGCUGAUUAACUGGACGUUACCCGCAUAAGAAGCGCCGGCUAACUCCGUGCCAGCAGCCGCGGUAAUACGGAGGGUGCGAGCGUUAAUCGGAAUUACUGGGCGUAAAGGGUGCGUAGGUGGUUUGAUAAGUUAUCUGUGAAAGCCCUGGGCUCAACCUGGGAAUGCCAGAUAGUACUGUUGAACUCGAGUAUUGGAGAGGGUAGUGGAAUUUCCGGUGUAGCGGUGAAAUGCGUAGAGAUCGGAAGGAACACCAGUGGCGAAGGCGGCUACCUGGCCAGAUACUGACACUGAGGCACGAAAGCGUGGGGAGCAAACAGGAUUAGAUACCCUGGUAGUCCACGCCGUAAACGAUGUCAACUAGCUGUUGGCCUUAUGAAUAAGGUUAGUGGCGC